rnacentral:rRNA from 1 species
AUACGUAGGGGGCGAGCGUUGUCCGGAAUGAUUGGGCGUAAAGGGCGCGUGGGCGGCCCGGUAAGUCUGGAGUGAAAGUCCUGUUUUUAAGAUGGGAAUUGCUUUGGAUACUGUCGGGCUUGAGUGCAGGAGAGGUAAGUGGAAUUCCCAGUGUAGCGGUGAAAUGCGUAGAGAUUGGGAGGAACACCAGUGGCGAAGGCGACUUACUGGACUGUAACUGACGCUGAGGCGCGAAAGUGUGGGGAGCAAACAGGAUUAGAUACCCUGGUAGUCCACACUGUAAACGAUGAAUGCUAGGUGUAGGGGGUAUCGACCCCUUCUGUGCCGCAGUCAACACAAUAAGCAUUCCGCCUGGGGAGUACGGCCGCAAGGUUGAAACUCAAAUGAAUUGGCGGGG